GGGGAAUAUUGGACAAUGGGCGAAAGCCUGAUCCAGCCAUGCCGCGUGUGUGAAGAAGGUCUUCGGAUUGUAAAGCACUUUAAGUUGGGAGGAAGGGCAGUAAGUUAAUACCUUGCUGUUUUGACGUUACCAACAGAAUAAGCACCGGCUAACUUCGUGCCAGCAGCCGCGGUAAUACGGAGGGUGCGAGCGUUAAUCGGAAUUACUGGGCGUAAAGCGUGCGCAGGCGGUUUGUUAAGCGAGAUGUGAAAGCCCCGGGCUCAACCUGGGAUGGUCAUUUCGAACUGGCAAGCUAGAGUCUCGUAGAGGGGGGUAGAAUUCCAGGUGUAGCGGUGAAAUGCGUAGAUAUAGGAAGGAACACCAGUGGCGAAGGCGACCACCUGGACUGAUACUGACACUGAGGUGCGAAAGCGUGGGGAGCAAACA
rnacentral:rRNA from 1 species